rnacentral:rRNA from 1 species
GGAAGUGCGGCUGCUUACCAUCGCAGUCGAGCGGAAGGCCCUUCGGGGUACUCGAGCGGCGAACGGGUGAGUAACACGUGAGUAACCUGCCCCUGACUCUGGGAUAAGCCUGGGAAACCGGGUCUAAUACCGGAUACGACCACUCCCGGCAUCUGGUGGUGGUGGAAAGUUUUUCGGUUGGGGAUGGGCUCGCGGCCUAUCAGCUUGUUGGUGGGGUGAUGGCCUACCAAGGCGACGACGGGUAGCCGGCCUGAGAGGGCGACCGGCCACACUGGGACUGAGACACGGCCCAGACUCCUACGGGAGGCAGCAGUGGGGAAUAUUGCGCAAUGGGCGGAAGCCUGACGCAGCGACGCCGCGUGGGGGAUGACGGCCUUCGGGUUGUAAACCUCUUUCGGCAGGGACGAAGUUGACGUGUACCUGUAGAAGAAGCGCCGGCUAACUACGUGCCAGCAGCCGCGGUAAUACGUAGGGCGCAAGCGUUGUCCGGAAUUAUUGGGCGUAAAGAGCUCGUAGGUGGCUUGUCGCGUCUGCCGUGAAAGCCCGUGGCUUAACUACGGGUCUGCGGUGGAUACGGGCAGGCUAGAGGCUGGUAGGGGCAAGUGGAAUUCCUGGUGUAGCGGUGAAAUGCGCAGAUAUCAGGAGGAACACCGGUGGCGAAGGCGGCUUGCUGGGCCAGUUCUGACGCUGAGGAGCGAAAGCGUGGGGAGCGAACAGGAUUAGAUACCCUGGUAGUCCACGCUGUAAACGUUGGGCGCUAGGUGUGGGGGUCUUCCAUGGUUCCUGUGCCAUAGCUAACGCAUUAAGCGCGCCGCCUGGGGAGUACGGCCGCAAGGCUAAAACUCAAAGGAAUUGACGGGGGCCCGCACAAUCGGCGGAGCAUGUUGCUCACUUCGACCCUACGCGAAGAACCUUACUUAUGAUUGACAUACACCGCACGCCCUCUCAGAGAGUUGUGCCUUUCUAUAUCUGGAGAACAGGUGGGGCGUGGAUGUUUUACCUCAGGUCGUGACACGAUAAUUUAGGGUCUUUUCUACACGAGACGUGAUCCUUGUGCCUGUGGAGAGUUCUGCCUUCCGGAGAGGCGUGGACUCCGGGGAGUUCCCUUGGUACAGUCUUGCGAAGUGGGAGAAUAAUCCACCACUCUCCCUCCUCGAAAGUUGUGGGCGGAAUAAACAUCAAAGAGGGCCGCGCACCGCGUCGGGGACCCAAGGGGGGGGGACUAUUACAGAAACCCCCCCCACCCAAAGGAGGGGGGCGCGCCCCCCCCACAAGAAAAACUUCCCCACCCAACCAAGGAAGGAGUUGUUCUUAAUAUUAAUGCCGUGUCUCCAUCCUCCAGCGGGGAGGAAGAUUAAUCAACUACCCCUGGCCUCAUUGAGGCGGAGCUAUGUGUUGUGACUCGGGGCGGGAACGGAAAGGUAUUUAAUUAUAAUUUUAAAAAAAAAAAAAA